GAUUAUAAAAUGACAAAUACAAAUGUUGGUGUCUUAAAUAUAUCAUUGUUGUUGAAUAGUUAACAUAUUACAUCUCAUUUUAAUUAUUUUUAAGACUUCAUAUGCACAAAAAGAAAUUAAGUUUUGCGGCUGACACAAAUCAUCAAAUCCAAAUAAACAACAUCGAUUGUAUAAUGACGAAAGGGGAUUAGGUUUUCUGCUCUCGAUUUGUUUAUUAUUGACUCUC
rnacentral:lncRNA from 1 species